GGGGUUGUGGCUCUGUGGUAGAGUGCUCACCUAGCAUGUGUGAGGCACUGAGUUCAAUCCUCAGCACCA
rnacentral:tRNA from 1 species